UACAGAGGUGGCAAGCGUUGUUCGGAAUUACUGGGCGUAAAGGGCCAGUAGGCGGCCAACUAAGUCCGACGUGAAAUCCCCAGGCUUAACCUGGGAACUGCGUCGGAUACUGGAUGGCUUGAAUUCGGGAGAGGGAUGCAGAAUUCCAGGUGUAGCGGUGAAAUGCGUAGAUAUCUGGAGGAAUACCGGUGGCGAAGGCGGCAUCCUGGACCGACAUUGACGCUGAAUGGCGAAAGCUAGGGGAGCAAACGGG
rnacentral:rRNA from 1 species